rnacentral:lncRNA from 1 species
GAACCAGGAAUGUCAGAACCAGGACUUGCAUCCAGAUAACCCAAGACACCUGUCCUCUUCCCAUGCCAUCCUGCUGCCCAAGGGAAGACUUAAGAAUAUUGUCCUGUCACUGAACUCAAGUGUCCCAAGGUGGAAAUAGAGUAAGUUGGCUUUAAAGGGACCGGGACAAUUCUGGAAAGGGAGGAGACUUUCCGGUAGUGGCUGAGGGGCUAAAAACCCCCAAGGAACUGGGAACUCAUUAAAUAGAACAUCCGUUUUCAAUGUGGCACGUUUGGAUACAUCUGUCAUGCUACCAGGAUAUUUCUGUGUGGCCCAGAGUUAUUACAGAUGCACGUAUAAUUUAUCGUCCAAACUGGGACAUGUCUGAAAGUGAAAUGAGGCAGGAUCAUGCUGGAGCCACAGGAGUGAACUGGGACUGUCCGGAGCAAGCUGGGUCGUAUGGUCACCCGACCCAGGUAAUGAGAAUGUGUAAAUGCUGUGCAGAUAGCGUGUCUUCAGACCGGACUUACUCUGAUGAUAAUACUUAGAGGGAGUCCCACCAGCUGGAUCUACCCUGAGUUUACAGACAUUCCCUGUGUUGCACAUUGCAGUGAUGUAUAUGAGCUACAGGGCAUCUUUACCCAAAUCCAGAAAGUGAUGGAUUCCACAAACACUGAGUGAGCACCCAGCUAGGUAAUAGAGACAUAAGAAUGAGAAGACAAGGUUUCUGGCAUUUUGAUCCGACUGCUCUACCAGAAGGAAGGAAGUGGCACCAGGGGCUCUCCCAAGUCAAGGGGCUAUCAUAUCCUGCCCUUGAGUGUUUAUCAUCUAAGCAGGCUCCAUGACCAUGGAAAUGGAAGGUUGAGCACAAACCCCUGUCCUCUUGGAGAUUUCAUCCUGCAGAUCACUGAGAGAACCAGGUGUGUUGACUUUCCAUCCAGUGGGACUAGGAACUGGAAAAUUGCCUGGAAUUCAACCUUUAAUUCCAGUAUGGAGCAGAGAAAGCAGCCGUGGCUCCCUGCCAGGAGCCCUGGGCUGUGUGACUUUGGGCAGGCCUUUCUUCCACGCUGAACUCCAGUGUCCUCUCAAAUGAAACCUGGGGGUUCCUCCAGUGUCAACUCUAUGGUUCCAUAUGUUAGUGCUGGUACUGGGCUCAUCUCAAAGGUAAGGGUUUCCACCAUGCCCUUAAGAAGAAUUUCAGAUGUAGGAUGGCGUUGCGGGGCAGAAGGGUAGGUCAUCUCCUCACCCUGAACUUAGGGAUGACCUGAAGGAGAGAUUCAAAAGUGCUGUCACUCACUCAUUACUGACAUUGGUUACAGCCAGUCCCUCCUUGCUCUGAAAUUAGCUAUCUCCCUGUCUCCUGCAUGAGACCCUGAGCUUUUGAAAGCAGAGACUGCAUUUUGUCACCUCCAAACCCUCAGCUUCUUUCAUCAUGCCUGGCACCAUGAUGCUGCAGUUGCUCAUUGCAGGUUUGGUGAAUAAAUGAACAAAAUAAUGGAAUGUGUGCCUAUGAGAAUUAAUUUCAUAAGGCUUUAUCUUAAUAAGAAGAUGACAUUCUGGAAGCCAAAAGACACAACUUACAUUUGACCCGGGCUCUCAUUUUCUACCCCUUCCCUUCAAUUAUUUACAAGAGGCAACUCCCACUUAAUAGACAGAAAAGCUGAGACCUAGAUAGGACACAUGACUUGGAAUUUUACUUAUGCAAAGCAGAGAUUCUCUAUCAUCUUUUAGAUUCCUUAAUAUUAGACAUGAGGAAAUUGAGGCCCAAGAAGUGAGGCAAUGAUGACAUGAGGUCCCACAGCUCAGCAGUGGUAGGGUGGAGACAAGAUUCCAGCUCCCAAAUCAUAGUCUAGAGCCACUUAACACAGAGCUCAGGCAGCCCUGGUAUCCAGCUCCAGGUUCCCAUGGCAACUAUGUGGAACAAACCAUCUUCUUUGGGUAGCAUUGAUUAAUUCUUUAUAUUGCUUUUCUCUUUCUUUGAGGGGAAGUGUACUCUUCACUCUCCCUUCCUUUCAUUUAUGAAAGGAAGAGACUAGGAUGCCUUCCAGAAACAGGUAUCCAGACAAUAAAUGAAGAUCCUGGCUGAUAUAGGCCUGAGAAGGUCUCAGGAUUCGCCAGUGCCUGUAAGUAGAAUUAAUGACAUGGAAAAAAACAUUCUGGAAUCUGUUUGGAAUUCCUUGGCUUAUCAUUGACACCCAUUUCUGCACAUCUCUUUCUGAGUAGUAACAGCCUUUAACCACAUGAAAAUAUGUGACAGGCCCCUGGCAAUUCAUGCUUUCCAAGAGGUUUUUAUCGUAUUUAUUUCAUUUGAUUCUGUGGCAUAGACAGGGCAGGUAUUGCCAUUUUACACAUGAGGAAACUGAGGCCCAGAGAGGUUAAGUUCACAGCACUAGUGUAGAAUUCCUCAGCAGAUAGAAUUCUCCUUGUCUGAAAAGAGGCCAAAGAGUCAGCACCUGUGAGGUGUCAGACACUUGCGAGAUCCCUAGAUACCUCAGCGAGGGCUCAGCCAUGCAGAGAUGGAUAGGGGGCCUGUGAGGGGGCAGACAACAAACAACUCACUAAACUGAGAUCCCCACACGUUGUUGUAACUUCCAUGGAGGAAAUACAUGUAGGAACACCUUCAAGAUGGCUGGGAAUGUAACUCUCAGAGGCCAGCAUGUCAUUUGAAAACCAAGUGGUAGGAAAGGGGCAGUACAGGAGACGAGAAAGAGACAUUGCUUGGUGGAAGCAGCAAGCCCUGAAGUAUCAGCGUCCUGAGAGGACAUGGUUUGUAUCCUCAGGCAAGAGGAAGGAACCCAGUGAGGGACCAGCGUGGAGUAGGGAGGGGAGGAGAGACUGGUUGAGUAGACAGGGGCCAGAGUAUUUCAGGCCUUCUAGGCCAGGUAAGAUAUAUGCAUACUAUCAAAUGCACCUUUACACCCAUAUACACAAACAUGGGCAUCUGCACACCCAACCACACAUACGCACACAUGUGUGUGCUUAACAUGUUCACAUGUGCACUGACACACAUACAUAAACUUACCUGAAAAUGCAUGUACACACAGAAGCACAAAUACACAACUCUCUUACACACAUUAUCAUCUGCACUUAAACACACUUGCUCACCUAUCCACACUGAUUGCACCCACAUGCACAUUCAUAUCUGCACAAAAGCACUCACACACACUCUCCUGCACAUGUGUGCUUUGUUUCACAGAUGCACACAUUUCUACAUGCAUGCACACUUGCCCACUCACACAUAGCUACUCACAUGUGCAUGUGUACAGCCUACAACAAGCCCAGCUCAGAUAAGCUCUCAGCCACAGAUAAACUUCUCUGCUGGUUGGUUAUAAUCUUUCAUUGGAACUGACACGUUGAUAGCCCCAGUUUUUCUAGGAAGUGACCUUCAUGCCAGCUAUUGAUUUCUAGUGACUAUCAGGCGCCUGCCACUGGAGUGACAGGCCCGGUCAGAGGUCAGCCCUUAAAUAAAGCUUCUGGAUUACUAAGCACCAGCCACUCUAAUGAAAAUGGAAAUUGGCAUCCCUGGCUCCCUUUUAUGUGGAGUGUUUCCGCUGAUGGGGUUUCAGCUCCGAGUGACCACCUGCACCCCCUCUCCCAGACCCAGGGUGCUGUGGGUGCCCACAGGUGUGUGUUUUACCAGGGAGCUGGACCAAAGGCUAUAGGUGGUGACAGCUACCACGGCCUGAAGCUUCCUGGAUUCUGCCUUCUAGCAACAUCCGGGGCUGUCCCUAUAAGCUUGACAUUCAAGUAACAGACAAUUGCUACAGGCCCCAAGACCCACAGGUGACCGGCUUUGUGGUCUUGGGCAGGUGGUGUCAUCUCUCUGAGCUUUGGUUACUUCCACCCUUUCUGCCUCAUCCACA